rnacentral:snRNA from 1 species
AUACUUACCUGGUAGGGAAGACACCUUGAUCACGAAGGAGGUUUUCCCAGGGUGAGGCUCAGCCAUUGCACUCCAGCUGUGCUGACUCCUGCAAUUUCCCCAAAUGCAGGAAAUUCAGCUGCAUAAUUUGUGGUAGUGAGGGACUGCAUGCACACUUUCC